CAAGUCCUAGCAUUGAUUAGCAUAAACUUACAAUAAUAGCAAUUUUUGUAACAGCCAGUGGUCAAGUGGUCCCGUUAUGACAAGUGUUUUGAUUUCGAUAUACUAAGGAAACAUGGAGUGUGUUAAAACUAAGUAUUACACGCUUUGUGGAGAUGUCCUACGUUAUUUAAUAAUUAUUUAAAAAAUGUAUAAAAGCAAACGUAAGGAAUUUUAAAGCGAGUAUUUGCACGAAUAUUGACAACUGCACAUCUAUAAAAUGAAGAUCAUAAUUUUUAUAAUAAUUGGAGGACUGCUACUGACAAUGAUGGCAGAAGCCACUUUCCACAGAAAAUUUAAGUAUGGUAAAAAAUUUCAUUCCACACCCAUCGUACAUGAAGACAUCCACUUCGAUAAUCAUCUAUCAUCAUUACCAUCGCUACCGUCACUUCCAUUGCACAGCAGUUUCAGCAUAUACGACCACUAUCCUUUUCACUUUUUUAGUGACUUUAGCGGGCAUAAUUUUUG